rnacentral:rRNA from 1 species
GGGGGGGCAAGCGUUGUUCGGAAUUACUGGGCGUAAAGAGCUCGUAGGCGGCCAACUAAGUCGGACGUGAAAUCCCUCGGCUCAACCGAGGAACUGCGUCCGAUACUGGAUGGCUUGAGUCCGGGAGAGGGAUGUGGAAUUCCAGGUGUAGCGGUGAAAUGCGUAGAUAUCUGGAGGAACACCGGUGGCGAAGGCGGCAUCCUGGACCGGCACUGACGCUGAGGAGCGAAAGCCAGGGGAGCAAACGGGGAUUAGAUACCCCGGUAGUCCUGGCCCUAAACGAUGAAUGCUUGGUGUGGCGGGUAUCGAUCCCCUGCCGUGCCGAAGCUAACGCGAUAAGCACUCCGCCUGGGGAGUACGGUCGCAAGGCUG